UACGAAGGGGGCUAGCGUUGCUCGGAAUUACUGGGCGUAAAGGGAGCGUAGGCGGAUCGUUAAGUUAGAGGUGAAAGCCCAGGGCUCAACCCUGGAAUUGCCUUUAAAACUGGCGGUCUUGAGUAUGGCAGAGGUGUGUGGAACUCCGAGUGUAGAGGUGAAAUUCGUAGAUAUUCGGAAGAACACCAGUGGCGAAGGCGACACACUGGGCCAUUACUGACGCUGAGACGCGAAAGCGUGGGGAGCGAACAGG
rnacentral:rRNA from 1 species